ACAAGUGGGUUGUGAAAAGGGUGUGGGGGAUUAUAGGGCUGCGUUGUGAGGGGAUUGUGAAAGGGUUUUGGGACUUUUAUCAGAGGCUUGUGAGGGCAUUUUGGGCACAUUGGUGGAGGGUUGUAACAAAGUUGUGAGGGCAUUGUGGGGAAUUAUGAGAGAGUUUUGGAAGGAUUGUGAGAAGAUUUUGGAACAUUUUUUAGAGCUUUGUCAGAGGGUUGUGGGGAUGUUGUGAGAAAGUUAUGGGAGUGUUAUGUUGUGGGACAUAUUUAGAGCAUUCUGAGAAGGUUGACAGCAUUUUGAGAGGGUAGCGAGGGUGGUGUAGGAUAUCUUGGGAGAAUGGUGGGAGGGCGGUGGAAUAGUCCGUGAGGAAAGCAUUGUGGCACGAUUUUUAGAGUGCUAUGAGAGGGUUCAUUAAGCAUUGUGAGAGAGUUGUGGUGAUGUUGUGGGAGCAUAUUGGAGGCAUUUUGGGUACAUUGUGAGAAGGUUGUGAGCGAGGUGUUGUGGAGGAUUAUGUGAGAACUGUGAGAAAGUUGUUUUUAAGCUUGUUAUAUAAGGGGGUUCUGGACAUAUUGCAGUAGUAACAUUAUCAGAGGGUUGUGAGGGCAUUGUGGGAGUAUUGUGAAACACUUGUGGUAGCAUUGUGAGAAGGUUGUGACUGCAUUGUGAGUGCAUUGUGGGAUGUUGUGAGCUCAUUUUGUGUAAGGGAUGUGAUUGGGGGUGUUAUUGGGGAAAUCAUGGGUGCAUUGUUAGAGGGUUGUGAGGAUGUUUGCAAAGGAGUUAUAAAACAGUUGUUAGAACUUUAUGAAGAGAUUGGGGGGGGGUGGUGCUGUGGGAGCAUCAUGAGAGUGUAGUGGGGGACAUUGUCAAAGAGUUGCAAGAGUGUUGGGAAGGGUUUGUGUCAUCUUGCAGGUGUUGUAUGAACGCCUACAUGAGGUGGACAGCAAAAAGAUGGUGCAGCAGAUGGAGAACAACCUGCAGAUGCUUGAAAGCAACAUGGACAAUGUCCUCAAAACAGCAGAGACGCUCGGAGCUGCACACCAGGAAGCGCGCGUCAGUCAUGCAGUAGAGCUGAUGUCAGUACACGUGGAGCAUCUCAAGAGACGUCACGCUACAGAGAGCGAGGAGAUGCUGGAGGUCAGAAAGCUGCUCCACAGGAGGAAGGGUCGAUUGCACAGUGACUCCACAGAUGAUCGAGAGCUGUUCAGAUAUUCAUCACAACAGCCGACACGUCGCAGGGUCAGCAUCACCUUCCUCCCGACUCAAUCUGAGGUACGUGUUUAUGGACCAUAUUCCAGCGUUCGUUUCUUCAGGUUUAGCAUCUCAAUGUUCUCAUGA
ensembl:lncRNA